rnacentral:rRNA from 1 species
UGGGGAAUAUUGGACAAUGGGGGCAACCCUGAUCCAGCCAUGCCGCGUGAAUGAUGAAGGCCUUCGGGUUGUAAAGUUCUUUUGGUGGGGACGAUGAUGACGGUACCCACAGAAUAAGCUCCGGCUAACUUCGUGCCAGCAGCCGCGGUAAUACGAAGGGAGCUAGCGUUGUUCGGAAUUACUGGGCGUAAAGGGCGCGUAGGCGGUCCGAUCAGUCAGGUGUGAAAGCCCUGGGCUCAACCCGGGAAUUGCGCUUGAUACAGUCGGACUUCGAAUUCGGGAGAGGUUGGUAGAAUUCCCAGUGUAGAGGUGAAAUUCGUAGAGAUUGGGAAGAAUACCCGUGGCGAAGGCGGCCAACUGGACCGACAUUGACGCUGAGGCGCGAAAGCGUGGGGAGCAAACA